rnacentral:rRNA from 1 species
GACGGGGGGUGCAAGUGUUAUCCGGAAUCACUGGGCGUAAAGCGUCUGCAGGUGGUUUCGUAAGUCCACUGUUAAACCUUGAGGCUCAACCUCAAAUCUGCAUUGGAAACUAGGAGACUUGAGUAUAGUAGGGGUAGAGGGAAUUUCCAGUGGAGCGGUGAAAUGCGUAGAUAUUGGAAAGAACACCGAUGGCGAAGGCACUCUACUGGGCUAUUACUGACACUCAGAGACGAAAGCUAGGGGAGCAAAUGGG